GCUCGUUUAGCUCAGUCGGUAGAGCAUGCGGCUGUUAACCGCAGUGUCGUAGGUUCGAGCCCUACAACGAGCGCCA
rnacentral:tRNA from 1 species